rnacentral:lncRNA from 1 species
GAGAAGAGAAGUCAGAGUUGAGCUGGGGGAGGCUUCAGAGGCUCUGCAUGCCCAGGAGGCUUCUCUGAGACUGGGAAGGAGUGGAAACUCAGUAGCCCGUGGUCCUGGUUGCGCGCUCCCUCCCAUGUCUUCAUUAUCUGAUUUGGUAAAAUAUCUACAAGACGGGGGAGUCCGGGCUGCUUUCUUUGACACUGGUCAUCACUCCACACCUAGACGCUAUGUCCAUGUCUGGAAGAUGCUUUUAAGGAAGUUUUGAUGCAGAGAAGAGUGGCCGGUGCUCUUCCUCGCGUGCCACCAUCUGCUUACUUCCAGAAGCUAAUUAUUUUCAUGUGACUGAUGUGACUAAUAUUUUUUAACGCCUGCAGAGCAGACCACACUGGAAACCAGUGGUUCCUGCCCCAUGGCUGAUACAAUCACCCCUGUCUUCUUUGUAGCCACCUCAGGUUCUGAAAACAGCCAGUUACUUCCCAAGAGUUGCACAGAGAAGCCUGCACACUUCCAUCUGGAUAUUUAGUUACCCUCUUGGAAACAGUCUCCACUCCACCCAUCACAUUCUACCUCCAAGGACUGGAACACAGACUUAUUCCCACCUCCCCGCUUCUGGGCUCUUGGCUGGCCCCAGGUCUCUGACAAUCCUCCCUUGGGGCCAGAGGUACUCAAGGAUGCCAAGAGGGAUAUUGAGUUCACACACACACACACACAAGGUGCAAAAAAACCCCUUGGGUAUUGGCCUAACCAAUAAACACUUUUCUUUGGUUAAUCAUUGCUAUUAUCAAAAAAUCUUAAUAUAAAAAUCUAGGCUAUACAAAGAAAAUUACUCAAAUACAAAUGUUGUUCACAUUGUAAA